rnacentral:rRNA from 1 species
GAUGAACGCUGGCGGCGUGCCUAAUACAUGCAAGUCGAGCGAACAGACGAGGAGCUUGCUCCUCUGACGUUAGCGGCGGACGGGUGAGUAACACGUGGAUAACCUACCUAUAAGACUGGGAUACCUUCGGGAAACCGGAGCUAAUACCGGAUAAUAUAUUGAACCGCAUGGUUCAAUAGUGAAAGACGGUUUUGCUGUCACUUAUAGAUGGAUCCGCGCCGCAUUAGCUAGUUGGUAAGGUAACGGCUUACCAAGGCGACGAUGCGUAGCCGACCUGAGAGGGUGAUCGGCCACACUGGAACUGAGACACGGUCCAGACUCCUACGGGAGGCAGCAGUAGGGAAUCUUCCGCAAUGGGCGAAAGCCUGACGGAACAACGCCGCGUGAGUGAUGAAGGUCUUCGGAUCGUAAAACUCUGUUAUUAGGGAAGAACAAAUGUGUAAGUAACUAUGCACGUCUUGACGGUACCUAAUCAGAAAGCCACGGCUAACUACGUG